AGUGUACCCGCGGCUAGACGGAAAGACCCCGUGAACCUUUACUACAGCUUGGCACUGAACAUUGACCCUACAUGUGUAGGAUAGGUGGGAGGCUUUGAAGCGCAGUCGCUAGAUUGCGUGGAGCCGUCCUUGAAAUACCACCCUUGUAGUGUUGAUGUUCUAACGUUGACCCCUUAUCGGGGUUGCGGACAGUGCCUGGUGGGUAGUUUGACUGGGGCGGUCUCCUCCCAAAGCGUAACGGAGGAGCACGAAGGUGGGCUAAUCACGGUUGGACAUCGUGAGGUUAGUGCAAUGGCAUAA
rnacentral:rRNA from 1 species